ensembl:snRNA U6 U6 spliceosomal RNA
GUGGUCUCUUUAGCAGCACAUCAACUAAAAUUGGAAAAAUGCAGAGUAAAUUAGCAUGGCCACUGAACAAGUUUGGCAUGCAAAUUCAUAUAUAUUAUAUAUAUAUAA